GUCGAGCGGCAGCACAAGGGAGUUUACUCCUGAGGUGGCGAGCGGCGGACGGGUGAGUAAUGCCUAGGGAUCUGCCCAGUCGAGGGGGAUAACAGUUGGAAACGACUGCUAAUACCGCAUACGCCCUACGGGGGAAAGGAGGGGACCUUCGGGCCUUCCGCGAUUGGAUGAACCUAGGUGGGAUUAGCUAGUUGGUGAGGUAAUGGCUCACCAAGGCGACGAUCCCUAGCUGUUCUGAGAGGAUGAUCAGCCACACUGGGACUGAGACACGGCCCAGACUCCUACGGGAGGCAGCAGUGGGGAAUAUUGCACAAUGGGGGAAACCCUGAUGCAGCCAUGCCGCGUGUGUGAAGAAGGCCUUCGGGUUGUAAAGCACUUUCAGUAGGGAGGAAAGGUAAUGGUUUAAUACACCAUUGCUGUGACGUUACCUACAGAAGAAGGACCGGCUAACUCCGUGCCAGCAGCCGCGGUAAUACGGAGGGUCCGAGCGUUAAUCGGAAUUACUGGGCGUAAAGCGUGCGCAGGCGGUUUGUUAAGCGAGAUGUGAAAGCCCCGGGCUCAACCUGGGAAUUGCAUUUCGAACUGGCGAACUAGAGUCUUGUAG
rnacentral:rRNA from 1 species